UUAUGUAGUCUCUUUAUUUGGUUUAUCUUGAUCACAAUAUGUAGUGUUAGGUCUAGAAAGAUAUAUUGUAAUGGUGAGCAGUUUAUCGAAUGAUGAUGAGUUCUCUUUCUUACAUAAAUUUGAGAUUUUUAUUAUGAUAAACAGAUCUCAUUUAUGAUGAAAGGUGAGAAUUUUACCAAAGGGUGAUGAAGAAACAUGCUUUACCAUGUCCUCUAAUCAGUUCUGGAGAUAUUGCUAUGCUCCAAAAGGAAGCUCCUGUCCUGGGCUACAACUUACUGGCACAUCCAGUCGAUGAACUGAUACUACAAACUCACGAUUGAAAUCGCUGUGGUAAAUUGACCUAUGACUGGUGAUAUAUGGGAUGCAAAGUUUGCUGGAAGAAGCUGAAAAUGGUGCAUUGAAAUGUCCUACAUGUUCCAAUCCAGAACCAUGACCAAGGUACAAAAUAGCAGUGCUUGCAAUAGACAUGGAACAUGAGGAGGAACCAAACCCAGUAUUCACAGAGUUUGCCUUUUUUAGAGCACGAGGAGAUAUAAUCACUGGAAGAAGCGCAAACUCGGCUGUAGCUCAUGGAAAAGGACGAGUUGGUUAGCUGGCACUGGAAAUAGAGGACUUUCUGGAACAAAAAUAUUGUGAGCGGUCACUACAAAUAGUAGAUCCCUGGGCUGAUUUUUAUUAGUAUUUCCAAGUGCAAGCAACAGAUCAUGUGCAAAGUGAGGCACCAUUAACUCGACAUUGAAUGGUUAAUCCGCCAUCUGCAUCGGACGUUCCAUGCAGGGGCGGACCCAGAACAAAAAUGUCCCGGUGUCCAUAUGUGUACUAUACACUGGUGGAUAUAUAUAAAAAUGAAAUACACUCAACAAUUUAAAA